UACAGAGGUCUCAAGCGUUGUUCGGAUUCAUUGGGCGUAAAGGGUGCGUAGGUGGCGCCGUAAGUCAGGUGUGAAAUCUCGGAGCUCAACUCCGAAACUGCACUUGAUACUGCGGUGCUCGAGUACUGGAGAGGAGAUUGGAAUUUACGGUGUAGCAGUGAAAUGCGUAGAUAUCGUAAGGAAGACCAGUGGCGAAGGCGAAUCUCUGGACAGUUACUGACACUGAGGCACGGAAGGCCCGGGGGAGCAAACGGG
rnacentral:rRNA from 1 species